GAUGAACGCUAGCUACAGGCUUAACACAUGCAAGUCGAGGGGUAGCAGGGUAGCAAUACCGCUGACGACCGGCGCACGGGUGAGUAACACGUAUCCAACCUUCCCAUUACUCGGGGAUAGCCUUUCGAAAGAAAGAUUAAUACCCGAUAGUACUUUUUCGAGGCAUCUCGUAAAAAGUUAAAGAUUUAUUGGUAAUGGAUGGGGAUGCGUUCCAUUAGAUUGUUGGUGAGGUAACGGCUCACCAAGUCUUCGAUGGAUAGGGGUUCUGAGAGGAAGGUCCCCCACAUUAGUACUGAGACACGGACCAAACUGCUACGGGAGGCAGCAGUGAGGAAUAUUGGUCAAUGGGCGAGAGCCUGAACCAGCCAAGUAGCGUGAAGGAUGAAGGUCCUAUGGAUUGUAAACUUCUUUUAUAGUAGAAUAAAGUGAGCCACGUGUGGUUUUUUGUAUGUAUACUAUGAAUAAGGAUCGGCUAACUCCGUGCCAGCAGCCGCGGUAA
rnacentral:rRNA from 1 species